CGUGCGCGCGCGCGCGCGCAUUGUUUCCUCUCCUCCCCUCGUGUACAAAAUCGCCGACCAAAGGAAGCUUUGAGUCCUCCUCCUUCCUAUUCCUCUCCAUCUUCUCAGUGUGUCUCCGCCGCUGAGAUCAAGAACGCAUCGAUGUCGAUCCCGACUCCGCUGCCGCCGAGUGCCACCGCCACUGAAAGGAAGGGUCAACAUUAGACCCUCACGUUUUCUGCCCUAGAUCCACGCUGUUUCCCCCUUUCUCCCCUUCACUCGAUCGCAGACCACUACCAACUGAGGCUAGGUCGCGACGCCGCUGAUCUCUACGGCCACCAGCAUUAGGAGUGGUCGCGAUGGAGAACAAGGCUAGCCCCUUAGUCGAUCUUCUUCCUCUGGCCGAUUUCCACCUGCCUCUACAAUAGAUCGCUGGCGAACUGCCUUGUGCCCUAGCUGCCACGCAACUAUCGAAGAGGUUCUGUUGGUUCUCCAGCCAGAGAGGAAGGUGGUCAGCGAUUGAUUUAGGUAGAUUCAUAGGAGCUCUGGCCACAGAGCUUCGGCAGCAGGCACCUUCAGUUAGCAUUCUCCGACAAUCGCUUUCCAGCCGUGAGCCAAUAAGGAAGUUUCUUACUUGGGUUGAGGUUGUCCGAAGGAGUUUCAGUCACUAGUUUCCCCCUCCAGGUUGCGAGGAUUUUCAUUUUAGAUCUUCUCCUUGGUUUUCUUAUUAUGUUAUCGUCGACAUUUUCAGGCUUGUACCUUUUGGCACUUGGAUCUUGUAUGAUCUCUUAUUAUCGAUAAGUUUUUGUUUGAAUGUAUGCUGGUGAUUUGAGUUUUAUGGGUGUAGUUGAGUAGGACUUAUGAUUUUAGUUUCAUGGGUGUAGUUGAG